AUUGAACGCUGGCGGCAGGCCUAACACAUGCAAGUCGAGCGGAUGAAGGGAGCUUGCUCCUGGAUUCAGCGGCGGACGGGUGAGUAAUGCCUAGGAAUCUGCCUGGUAGUGGGGGAUAACGUCCGGAAACGGGCGCUAAUACCGCAUACGUCCUGAGGGAGAAAGUGGGGGAUCUUCGGACCUCACGCUAUCAGAUGAGCCUAGGUCGGAUUAGCUAGUUGGUGGGGUAAAGGCCUACCAAGGCGACGAUCCGUAACUGGUCUGAGAGGAUGAUCAGUCACACUGGAACUGAGGCACGGUCCAGACUCCUACGGGAGGCAGCAGUGGGGAAUAUUGGACAAUGGGCGCAAGCCUGAUCCAGCCAUGCCGCGUGUGUGAAGAAGGUCUUCGGAUUGUAAAGCACUUUAAGUUGGGAGGAAGGGCAGUAAGUUAAUACCUUGCUGUUUUGACGUUACCAACAGAAUAAGCACCGGCUAACUUCGUG
rnacentral:rRNA from 1 species